rnacentral:lncRNA from 1 species
GUUCUUUGCUGCCUUACGUGUCCCACAAAGUGGUGUUGUGGAAGAGGAAUGCAGAGGAACACAGCUCCAAGGUGCCGUUUUCAGAGCAGGAACUGUGAGGUCAUCUUCCAGGACUCUCUUUGCUCUGGUAAGUGAACAAGGCUUUUGAGUUUGGCAGAUUAGCAAAAAGCAGGUCAAAGAAUGAACAAAUAGAAACAAUAAAACACAGGCUGGGUACUACUUUCCUGGGUUCUAUCUCCCACUGCAUGAACACACACUUCUCUCUGUGACUGUGAAGUGGAAACUGGAGCCAAGUUGGAAACUAUUUGCCAGAGACUGCAAAUGUUCCCACCUCUAAUUAUAACUACAGUUGGUUUGUUUCUGAAAGUUUCCUACUGAGGUCUAAAGUGGUGAGCUUGCACCUUUCAACAGAUUCUUGCCUCUACUUAUGCUUUUAGCAAGUCCCGUCAUAACACGAGGAUUUUAAGCGGGCUGAAGAGGUGCACUGAUGUUGUGCUGACCUCCUGUACCAAGGUAAAAAAAGGUAUUGAUUUUUUAUUAUUAUUUGUUCUGCUCAGCCAGGGGUUGUUGAAAUACUGCAACAAAAUUGGAGGAUAUUUCAAGGCAUUUGGAAGCAAGAAAGCAUUGUAAAUCUCACAAGAAGAGCCUGUUCUUGCAAGAUUAGCAGAUCCUUGGGUGGGUUGGGCGGGCAGAAUCAAAUACGAGUCAGCCCCCCGAAUCUAAUCAGAAACUUCAAAGCACAAUCAUGGCAGAAUGACAGCUCUGGUGCAAAAGGGAGGUACAGACAUCUCAUAUCCUUGGCACAGAGAUGGAAGCAUGUCUCUAUCUCUUACAUAUCUCUGCUACACCUUGAACAAACUGAGCAGGGUUACUUAAAUCCACAGUGCUUUGAAAUGGAUAUUGAAACGUUCCGUAAGAGCUUAUGCUUCCCUCACCCACCUUAUGCUUCCUCAAGUACUGAAACCAAACACAGGGCAGCAAAACAUGUAUAGUGGGCCCUGGGGACAUGCAACAUCCCUGUCACCAAUGUGACAUACCCACCCUGCCUCCCCCACUUCUGACUUUGGCAUGUUCCGCUUAGUGCCGUGCAGUUGUGGCUGGUGGUGCAGGUGUGGUUGAUGGCUGGCCUGGCUUUCUAAUGCCACUCACGGCUGCCAGUGACCGAUAGGGGCAAAGUUACUGCUAAGGACAAUGCAGCACAGUGCAGAAGCGGAAGCAGAUCGGUUCUGCCAUUGCACCUGCACCGUGCCUAACUCCCCGAUACUUUGCUCCCUGCCUUCUCAGUAAUUGGCAUUGGUUAGCCUGCUCUGCAAUGCAGCUCCUCCUGUGUCACUCCACUGACCAACAUCUGUCUUCCAGUUCCCUCCCCUACCACAAAAAGUGGCUCAUAGUCUGGACUCAUCCAGCCCCGAAGCAACUUUGCCAUCCCAUCUGCUUGUGAGAACCAGGCCUAUGCUGCACUUCUGUGCUGUUAGAGAGAAGGAAUAGUCAAGUGCCACCAGUGGUAUGUAUAAGCCAUCUGACUUAUAAGCCCAUUAUCUGAGCCAAGAGCACUUCUGUUCACUAGAGAUCACAUCAACGAAGAAAUCAGAUUUACAAAUCCACGUGGUUAGCGUGCAAUUAGUGCUUUUCAGUCCCGGGGUUUUCCCCUUUUAGCCAAAACUCUCUUCUCUAAACAAUUGUGAUGGCUUCAUCAUUACACUCUAGGAUUGCCAUUUUGUUUUUGGGGAGGGCUCUGGUGCCAUGAAGAGCUGCACGACUGCAAAAGACGAGCAGGUGAUGCUUUCCCCUCCACUGCAUGCCCUGGACCUGUUGAACAUCUGCCUGCCAUGCAGCAAAGGCAAAUGAAGCCUGUCGGAGAAAAGAUGGCAACCCCAUUGCACUGACACUUGAGCACUUUCAGACUCAGGGAAUUACUGAAAUAUGGUUUUGUGGGUUCCCGCCUCCCUGUGCAAAUAAAGCCUGCAACCUUUGUGCUUUCUUUAGAACACCGACUUUGCUGAAGUAAUUAAUCAUUCACAGUGUUUUUGCUUCAAGCCUGCCUAAGGCACCUUGUCUCUCUGUGGGGCUUUCUUUGAGCCCCCAAGCCUCCCUCUGGAGCAGAGUACACAGGCAUUCUCCUGUGUACCGAAUGGUAAUCAGCAGCUUAUGCUUUCAAACAGGGGAGAUGUCUUCAUUGAUUUCAGCCCUUCUUCCUUUCUCAGGUCGGCUGACCUUAACAUGCACACUUCUUCUUUCUUAAUGAUCUAGUUCUGCUGGAGGUCGAUAAAUAUUUUGACGCCCACUGCAAUUGCUUCGGGAAUGACACUGUAGCACAGUCGCUACAUUUCAAAACCUCAGUCGCUGCUCCAUGCAUUGAAAUUACUCACAGAAGCUUCCAAGGUGUCGCCAGCUGUUUAUGUGAAAUGAAACUGAUUUCCUAUGUGACAGAUUAUCUGCCUUAUAUCUGUUUACCUUCUAUUUCAGAAGAUACUGCAUGACACAACUGGUUUCCUUGUCAAAAACUGCAGAUUUGCAGUGUGGUUUAUUAUGCAUUUGUUUGAGAGGGAAGGUUAUAGUUUCUGCCUGCCCCUCCGGUAAAUGGAGUAUCCCAUUAAAGGGAUCCAUGGGACAUGCUUCUGUCUGGAUUCCCAGGCACAAUCCAGAGAGGGAACUCCCUCACUUCCUGUUGACCUCAAAUUAAGUACUUCUGGCAGGCAGACCAGAAGGAGUGUGGUCUAUUCAAUGCCUAUGCCAAACCUCUUACAUCUGUAGUCAAUCAAGUUGUGGCCUGAUUUCACCCAAAAUAAGAACUUCUUGUGUCUCAUUAUUUAUUGUUUAAGAUGGGUCCCCAACCUGGGUACGCAACAUAGACAAACCAUUGGUCUACCCUGGCUGUUGGGUUUCCGACAGAAAGCCUUCCUAACCUAUCCUGCAAGGACCAAGGAUUGAACCUGAGACCUUCUCCAUGUCAAUCAGAUGAUCUACUGCUGAGAUACAGCGCUUCUGAUCAACAGUGGUUGUCACGGCAGCAUUGCUCACCUGACCUGUUCACCAUACAAAGUGCCAGGGAGCUCAGUGCAGUGCAGGCUCAGUAGCAGAACCAAUCUGAUCCCCUACACCUGCAACUGCACUGCAACUGCACCUGCCAAACUCCUUGCUGUCUUGCCUCUCCACCUCUCAGCACCAGGCAGCAACACACACCAUCAGGAAGCCAGGUUGCCCUGCCUGCCAUACUGCUUCCUGUGACACCUAGAUAUGAAGAAAGAAGGCACACAAGCAAGCAGUCAUAGUUCCAAGGAAGCAUCACCCUGCACCCAGUAGCACCUUCAAGUAUAUAUUUCAUAGCCUGGCCCAAAAAAGAACCAACCUACCCCUCCCUCUGCUGCUCAGAUGCCAACUGUUUAACAUUUUCAUUACAUCUCCCAUCCUCCAGGUAGAGGUGGUUCCAGGUACCUUCCAGAAUGGGUUUUGUGGGGUGGGGAACUAGUCUCAUUAAAAUUAUAUGCCUCGUAAUCACACCAGAAGGAAAUGAUGUUUCAUUGCCAGGCAAGGAGUGCAAGUUAUCUCCUAUCUUCAUAUUCUUAUUAUUUAUUUCAUUCAGGGCUUCUUAUUUUUCAGCCGAACACACCAGAACUCAGUUCCGACACCUCUCAGGUGGGCUCCAUUGUCAUGAGGGAAGUGUUCAUGGUGAGUUCCA